AUGGCCGCCGCGGUUUCUGUGACAGGCCCGAUCACGUGGGCGCCGCCGCCUAUGAGGUCGCGGGAGCUCGAGCGGCGAUUGUCCCUUCCCGGGCCCCGUCCCGAGGCGGCGACUGCCCUUGUCAACCCAAGCCUGAGCGAUCAUGGCAACGGGCUCGGGCGGGGAGCGCGUGGCAGCGGCGGCAGCGGCGGCAGUUUGGUCGCGGGCCGGGGCGGCGGAGCGGCGGCGGCGGCGGUGGCACUGGCGCUGGCACCGGCCCUGAGCGCCAUGCAGCGGGGCAGCUCCGAGAGGGAGCUGGCGGCCCGGUGGGAGGCGGAGGCGGUGGCCGUGACCAAAGCGCUGGCGGCGGCGGAGCAGGUCCGCGUGGACUCGGGCGCGGCCGGGGAGCCGGAACGCAAGACGCCAGAGGAGCAGCCCAAGGACCCGGCCCCGGCGCAGCCCCGCGCGGCCGAGGAGGGGGACGCCCGCGUCGUCCCGCGGCCGCCGCCCACGCUGCCCCUGGCCAAGCCGCAGGCGGCGCGGGCGCGGGGCCUCUGCCCGCACGGGAAGCCCCGGAGCAAGGGCCGGGGCGACCGACGGAGCUCAGGCCGCGCGGCGGACGAGUACCACUCCCAGCGGCCCGUCACUGUGGACAGCUCCAAGGCCAGGACCUCCCUGGACGCCUUGAAGAUCAGCAUCCGCCAGCUCAAGUGGAAGGAGUUCCCAUUUGGCCGACGCUUGCCUUGUGACAUCUACUGGCAUGGAGUUUCAUUUCAUGACAAUGACAUAUUCUCCGGCCAAGUGAACAAGUUUCCAGGCAUGACGGAGAUGGUGCGUAAAAUUACUCUGAGCAGAGCCGUGAGAAUCAUGCAGAAUCUCUUUCCUGAGGAGUACAACUUCUACCCUCGCUCAUGGAUUCUGCCUGACGAGUUCCAGCUCUUUGUGGCUCAGGUUCGAAUGGUGAAAGACGGUGACCCAUCCUGGAAGCCCACUUUUAUUGUGAAACCUGAUGGUGGUUGUCAGGGUGAUGGAAUCUACCUCGUUAAAGACCCCAGUGACAUCCGCCUGGCAGGGACCCUUCAGAGCAGGCCAGCGGUGGUCCAGGAGUACAUCUGCAAGCCUCUUCUUAUCGACAAACUCAAGUUUGAUAUUCGUCUGUAUGUCUUACUCAAGUCCUUAGACCCCUUAGAGAUUUAUAUAGCCAAAGACGGACUCUCCAGAUUCUGCACAGAGCCAUAUCAGGAGCCCAACCCCCAAAAUCUGCACCACAUCUUUAUGCACUUAACCAACUACUCGCUGAACAUCCAUAGUGGUAACUUUGUCCAUUCGGACAGUACUAGCACGGGCAGCAAACGGACUUUUUCUAGCAUUCUUUGUAGGUUGUCUUCCAAAGGUGUUGACAUCAAGAAGGUCUGGUCUGAUAUCAUCUCCUUGGUGAUUAAGACUGUCAUUGCCCUGACUCCAGAGCUCAAGGUUUUCUACCAGUCGGACAUCCCUGCAGGGAGGCCGGGGCCCACAUGCUUCCAGAUUCUAGGCUUUGACAUCCUUCUGAUGAAAAAUCUGAAGCCUAUUCUCCUGGAAGUAAAUGCAAAUCCCAGCAUGAGAAUCGAACAUGAGCAAGAACUUUCUCCGGGGGUCUUUGAAAAUGUCCCCAGCCUUGUCGAUGAAGAAGUGAAGGUGGCCGUGAUCAGAGACACACUACGCCUGAUGGACCCACUUAAGAAGAAAAGAGAGAACCACUUUCCAGAUAUCUAUACGGACAGAAAACACAGAUUCCCUCCGGUUUCUGACAGAAUGCCUUCAUCACAGCUUCCCGUAGUCAGGUCUCAGCAGCUUACGAAGCCAUUAGCUGCAAAGGAGGAUCCUUCCGACAGUGAGCCGGCCAGCGCCUCCGACGGCAACACGGAUCCCGAAGCCCACCUGCCCUCCAUCUGCCUUAAGCAGGUGUUCCCCAAGUAUGCCAAGCAAUUCAACUACCUGCGCCUGGUGGACAGGAUGGCAAAUUUGUUUAUCCGGUUCCUGGGGAUCAAGGGGACGAUGAAGUUGGGACCAACAGGCUUUCGGACUUUUAUAAGUUAUUUGAGGAACUGCAUCCCAGGGCAUAAGAGGAAACGCUACCAAGAUUAAGAGCUACCAAGGCUUCAUGUUUUUACCCCAGACUCUGAGAUCUCUUCCACCCUCUGAGAGUGGUAUCCAAGACAGAUUGCACUCUGUGUCACUCACUGGGCUCAGAAUCCCACCUACACAUCGUGGACACAAAAUCAAUUCUGCACCGAGUGGAUGGAUAGAUGAUAAAGUCAUUCGAAAGUCUUGACCCUCCAAACAAGGAGGCUUUUCCUGUUCGCGUCAAUGAGAAUGUUGAGUGGCCAUGGGGACAAACCUAGGAGAAUCUGUCUCCAAGUGACCCUGGUUGUCUUCCCCCAGCCUUAUAUCCCAAAGCUUCCCAACAGGGUCUCUCUAGAGGCUCUGGCCUUACUGGGCCCUGCCUGGGACUAUGUCUCAAAUCCCAGGUUCCUCCUGCAGCCCUGGGCUGGGCCAUCUCCCUACUUCUCCCCAGAGCUCCUAAGUCCACUACUCUGUCCUCCAAGCGAGGACUGGAUGUGAAUCCCAGCUGUGUGAUCUUGGGUAAGCUAUGUCCCUUCUCUUGAGUCUCAGCUUACCUGUCCCUGGAAUGGGACUAACAGUACUUCCUUUGUCGGGUGGUUGUAAAGAUGGACAGGAAAGGGCCUGGCAUACUAAAUGGGUGCCCGAGAAAUAAAAGAAUCAAAAUUCUUUUAAAGCAUCUCCUGUCUCCUGCAGCCAGCAUGGGUCCCUCCUUCCCCUGUCCCCAUACCAGAUGUUACAAUCAACUGUAUUUGCAGGCAUCACUAGGGAGGAUGAGUUACCUCGGAAAAGGGAUAAACGGAGAAUUCUCUUUGGUAAAUUACGGCCCCUGCUAAAGGUUUGACACUUCUAUUUUCUACCUGUCAGAAAAAAAUAACUAUAUACCAGUGGUCAGUUUGGUUUCCCUUUUUAUACUCCAUUAACCCACAGAGCAAGCCAGGCAGAGCUCCUGUCCCGUGGGGGAGCAGGUAGUCCAGAGGACACUGAUACAAUAAUUAGAGAAAAGUGGUGGCCCUUCCUAAUGAAGCUUGGAAAAUGAGCAGCGCAGGUUGUUGGAACACCUUGGGAGAGACUGGAGCGUCGUCUCCGGUGGAGCCCAAUAGAGAUAGCCAUCUUGGUGACAGGCGACAUGAAAAGCUCUGCGUCCAUUGACAUGUUGUUACCGGGGUUCAAUAGCUGUGCGCUGAUGUGUUUGAAGUCCGCCACCGGUGACUUGUGAUUGAAAUACGGAGCAGGAGCCCAGGAGGAAGCAGGAUGUGAAUUGAUGGCCUGAGAAAUACUGGCAGGGAAGAAAGGAAGGAAGAGGGAGGGCGGGAGGGAGGGAGCCAGUGUGCUGGCAUAUAAGGAACACCAGCCUCGUCUGGGCACCAUGCCGGGCACGCUCACGGCCUCCAUCAUCGGGGUGUGUGUGGGUUUGGAGGGGGGCCUCGGGGGUGCCCAAAUCCUGCUUGCCAGUCAACCCCUCUCCUGUCGGGCUUCUAAGGGACCUAUUCACACGAGGGCUGAUGACAAAUGGGAAAUCAAAGAACCACUUUAUCAUUAGCUGGGCCAAUGGAUGAGGCCAUAUUUGGAGAGUUGAAAGCAGCAUUGAGCGUAAUGUGGCCAAACGGACAGCUGGCCCAGAGGUAUGACUCCAGGAUCACGAGGGCAAAUCCAGCUUGUGUUGGGACUCGCUUCCCAACACGACCCUGUUCAGGAAGGUGGUGCAUCUGGACAAGCCAGGGGCUACCUUUAGUCUGGAUGGAGAGCCCGGGGCCCUGACAUCCAGACGCUCUGACUGGUGAGCUCCGUUUCUCCAGAAUGGACGGGGCCACUUGCUGAAGGGUCAGCCCCAAGCAGCCUCCGAAGAUCCCACGCUCUAGCUCUGGAAGAGGAAACGAAAAGUGGGGAGCGGUUGGGAAGAGAACCAACAACGGUGGGCCAACCGGGCGCCAGGCACCACGCCGGGUCCUUGGCCCGCACCGCCUCAUCCUUCUUCACCGCCGCCAUGGGGGCGGAUACUAUUCUCUUCAUUUUAGGUAGCAGCAAAUGAAGGCACUGAAGGUUUAAGUAAAUGCUCACGGUCACAUAGCUAGAAAAAGCAGCAGAGCCAGGGUUUCUAUCCUGGUCUGUCUGAUGCCCAAAUCACGCUCUUUUCAGUGUGCCAGACUGCCUCCCCACAUCUCCAGACCAAAAAAAAAAAAAAAAAAAAAAAACCCCAAACCUAGAGGGGAGGCAGAGGAUUGCAAACAUGCCUUUGUGGCUUGGACAGGGAGCAGAUGUGGGGCUGAAAACCUGGUUACCUUGGCCUCUGUGCACUGGAGGAAAUAAACCGGGGGAGCCUCCGAAAGUCUGACGCCAGCCUCUCCCCACCCCUGCUGCUUCCAGGUGACUCCCCAAAGUCAGGACUGAGCGUGGAGGGGUGUGGGCCAGCCGCGCUCAUCUGCGCUGGGAGUCUCGGGCUCACCGUUCGGGACCCACAUGAAAUCUUCAGGUGACAGAUUCCAAUGGGUGACGUGCAGGAACCUCCAGCCCCUGUCUGUAGGUUUGGGCCCAGGGAUGCAUCCGGGAAGCUUUCCAGUGGGGAAUCACUUCCGGACAGAAGCGGCACCUUCCGUCUGUUUGGGUGACAGUGCUGUUUUCAUUGGGCCAUCCGAGUGUGCCACUGUCAGCUGCCUGGGCACUGGAACUGCAAACUCAGCAGCAGCAGCUUGUCCAUGGCGGCCGUGGACAUCCUCUACAUUGACAUCACCAGGAGGUGGAACUCUAUGACCCUGGACCAGCG